UAUUGAUGAUGAUAUCUUUCAAUUUGCUGUUUGAUAUCCAAUGAUAACAUUAGCAAUACCACCAAGAUCUCUGAGAUA